rnacentral:rRNA from 1 species
UACGUAGGGUGCGAGCGUUGUCCGGAAUUAUUGGGCGUAAAGGGCUCGUAGGCGGUUUGUCGCGUCGGGAGUGAAAACACACAGCUUAACUGUGUGCUUGCUUCCGAUACGGGCAGACUAGAGGUAUGCAGGGGAGAACGGAAUUCCUGGUGUAGCGGUGAAAUGCGCAGAUAUCAGGAGGAACACCGGUGGCGAAGGCGGUUCUCUGGGCAUUACCUGACGCUGAGGCGCGAAAGCGUGGGGAGCAAACAGG